rnacentral:rRNA from 1 species
AACGAACGCUGGCGGCAUGCCUAACACAUGCAGGUCGAACGAGACCUUCGGGUCUAGUGGCGCACGGGUGCGUAACGCGUGGGAACCUGCCCUUAGGUUCGGAAUAACUCCCCGAAAGGGGUGCUAAUACCGGAUAAUGUCUUCGGACCAAGAUUUAUCGCCUUUGGAUGGGCCCGCGUUGGAUUAGCUAGUUGGUAGGGUAAAAGCCUACCAAGGCGACGAUCCAUAGCUGGUCUGAGAGGAUGAUCAGCCACACUGGGACUGAGACACGGCCCAGACUCCUACGGGAGGCAGCAGUGGGGAAUAUUGGACAAUGGGCGAAAGCCUGAUCCAGCAAUGCCGCGUGAGUGAUGAAGGCCUUAGGGUUGUAAAGCUCUUUUACCCGGGAUGAUAAUGACAGUACCGGGAGAAUAAGCUCCGGCUAACUCCGUG